rnacentral:rRNA from 1 species
AAGGAAUAUUGGUCAAUGGGCGGAAGCCUGAACCAGCCACGCCGCGUGCAGGAAGAAGGCCCUACGGGUUGUAAACUGCUUUUAUACGGGAAGAACCGCCCUCCUGCGGGGGGGUAUGACGGUACCGUAGGAAUAAGCAUCGGCUAACUCCGUGCCAGCCGCCGCGGUAAUACGGAGGAUGCAAGCGUUAUCCGGAUUCAUUGGGUUUAAAGGGUGCGUAGGUGGGUCCAUAAGUCAGUGGUGAAAUCCGGCAGCUCAACUGUCGCACUGCCUCUGAUACUGUGGGUCUUGAGUUAAGUUGAAGCAGGCGGAAUAUGACAUGUAGCGGUGAAAUGCAUAGAUAUGUCAUAGAACACCGAUAGCGAAGGCAGCCUGCUAAACUUACACUGACACUGAUGCACGAAAGCGUGGGUAGCGAAC